ensembl:lncRNA
GUGUGUGCGUGCGUGUGUGUGGGUGUGUGUGCGUGUGUGUGUGUGUGUGUGUGUGGGUGUGUGUGUGUGCCACUAUACAAGUAGCUCAGGGCUUCCCUGGUGGCUCAGACGGUAAAGAAUCUGCCUGCAAUGAGGAGACCCGUGUUCUAUCCCUGGGUCAGGAAGAUCCCCUGCAGAAGGCAAUGGUAACCCACUCCGGUAUCCUUGCCUGAGAAAUCCCACGGACAGAAGAGCCUGGUGGCUACAGCCCACGGGGUCACAAAGAGUCAGAUACGACAAACAGCUAACACGCACACACAGCUGUCUACCAGCUUCUUCCAAGGGAGAAAUAAACCAGUCUUCGGUUGUUUUUGCAGCCGGACCUCCAAAAUUAUACCAGUGGGUGAGGGCACCCCUCCUUUCUACACUUGUGCAAAUCUUGGCAAGAGAAAAGCCCUGAAUGGCUUUCAACAAAGCUGGUGCUGGGAAUCCUAGGCAGAGUCUGAGCUGGGGGUGGUCCUGGGCAGGCGUCGCUCCCUGACAUCGCUGGGAUCUGUCGCCACCUAGUGGUUCCUCUCUGUAUCAGCUCCGAAAAGAGCAUCUCAUCCCAGCAUCCCCGACAGAAAGGCAUCUGACCGAGGAUCCCCAGGGCUCUGAUUAGAUGAGCUGGUGGUCUUCCGUGGGCCCAGCCUGGGAAGGGCCAGUGGGCCUCGUGGAAGAGAACCCAUGCUUUGGGUUAGAAUCACUUGCACCCCUGGAUGCUGUGUGACUUUGUUAGUUUGCUUAAACUUCCCCCAUCGCCAGUUGCCCACGUGAAGGGAGGCUGGUGCUCGGGGUGGUUGCGAAUUAGAAGUAAUCAAGCCCCUGGUAACCCAAGGGCUUCCCGUGUGGCUCAACUGAUAGAGAAUCUUGCCUGCAAUGUGGGAGACCUGGCUUUGAUCCCUGGGCUGGGAAGAUCCCCUGGAGAAGGGAGACGCUACCCACUCCAGUAUUCUGGCCUGGAGAAUUCCGUGGACUAUACAGUCCAUGGGGUCGCAAAGAGUCAGACACGACUGAGUGACAUUCACUUUACUCUCACUUUAAGCCCUGGCACACAGGACUCCCUUUCAUGAGAGCUCGUGGACUGAAACUGCGCAGCGUUCUGACGUCAUCCUCUUGUAUUGUUCCCAGGGCUGAGUGAUGGUCUGGAUGGGUUAUCCGCCGGCUAUAUCAAGUACACUUUCCAAAACAAACUCUUUAUUUUGAGAUCGUUCUGGAUUUACCAAACAGUUGCAGAGUCAGUACAGAGGGUUCCUGGCCAGCCCUUGCCUGGUUUCUCCCACUGUUAACCCUCCGUAGCCCUGUUGUCAAAACUCAGAUGUUACCAUGUUUGCAAUGCCAUGUGUUGAACCACACGCUUUAUUUGCGUAUCACUAGGGAGAAAGCUCCUGAGAGCCCCUGGGACCACAAGGAGAUCCAGCCAGUCCAUUCUGAAGGAGAUCAGCCCUGGGUGUUCUUUGGAAGGAAUGAUGCUAAAGCUGAAACUCCAGUACUUUGGCCACCUCAUGUGAAGAGUUGACUCAUUGGAAAAGACUCUGAUGUUGGGAGGGAUUGGGGGCAGGAGGAGAAGGGGACGACAGAGGAUGAGAUGGCUGGAUGGCAUCACCGACUCGAUGGACGUGAGUCUGAGUGAACUCUGGGAGUUGGUGAUGGACAGGGAGGCCUGGCGUGCUGCGAUUCAUGGGGUCGCAAAGAGUCAGACACGACUGAAUGACUGAACUGAACUGAAUUGAGGUUUUUCACUAAUGACUGCUUCCUAUUGGGGAUCCAAUUGGAAGCCCACAUUCCAUUUAGUCCUGUCUGGUCUUGACGAUCUUGGAGAGUACUGGUUAUGUGUUUUGAAGAAUGCCCUUCAGUUUGGCUUUGUCCGAUGUUUUCUCAUAAUAGCCUGGGGUUUGGGGAAGAACGCCACAGGGGUGAAGCUGUCUGUGGUGUCCUAUCAGGGGCAUGUGAUGUCAGCAUGACGUUGACCUCGAUCGCUCGGAUAAUGCGGUGGCUGCCGGGUUUCUCCACGGUAAAUUUCUGCUUUUCUCAUUCCUCUGUUCCUUGGAAGAGUCACCAGGUACGGCCCAUGCUCAGCAGGAGGGGAUCAAGCUCAUUUCCGAGUUUGUUGUCACAGUUCAGUUGAUGAGUUGUGUCUGAUUCUUUGCCACCCCAUGGACGGCAGCACGCCAGGCUGUCUCCCAGAGUUUGCUCAAGUUCAUCUCCAUUGAGUCGGUGAUGCCAUCCCACCAUCUCAUCCUCUGCCGCCCCCUUCUCCUGUCCUCAAUCUUUCCCAGCUUCAAGGUCUUUUCCAGUGAGUCAGCUCUUUGUAUCAGGUGGCCAAUUUCCCAGGGGGAGGUCCCUCCAAACAGUGUUAGGAAUUCUUCCGCAAGGAACUUUUGUUUCUUCUCUCCCAUGAAUUUAUCUGUUCAACCCUGUAUUUGUAUCAGCAUGGGCUCACGGGUGCCUGUGAAAACCCAUUUUCCUUGUCUUGGUCAUGGAAUUGUUCCUUUCAAGCUUGGAGGGAUUGUCUAGGUGUCGUUUGGGGUCUGAGUGCAUCGUCCUUGAUCAUUUCUUUUAGCUUUAGGUUUUUUAAAUGCUUUUUUUUCUUUAUUGUGGUGAGAGUCACACAGUAUAAACAUACUGUUGGAACCGUAUUUAACUGUACGCUUAGUUCAGUUCCACCAAGUACAUUCCCAUCGUGUGCGAUGCUCACCGUCACCCGUCUCCCAGAUUUUUCACCUUCCUACACUGCAGCUGGGUCCCCUUUAAACACUCAGUGCCCAUCGCCCUGCCCUUUCCCGUGCCUGGCAGCCACCAGUGUACCUGCUGGCUCAUGAAUCUGACUGUUCAGUUCUGGGUGUUUUUUUAAGCCCAUGAUAACAUGCAGGUCCAAUUACUCGCUUGGAUUAGGACUUGGGGGCUCUGUCGGUGGCAGGCCCUGGCGAUGCCCCUUUGCGGUGGCUGGGGAUUUCGGUGCCUCUUUGGGACAAGCAGCGGGCUCAGCGGCCUCCCCGCCAUCCUGCCUGGGAAUCCUGGCCCUGCUCUUACUCCGGUGCCUUCGGGAGGGUCAGGGCUCAGUCCUGCACAAAGGCAGAGGCGGGGAUGGGAGAGCGUGUCUGUCUCUGCAGCCACUGAAGCUCCUGCUGUUGCUUAACCCUGAGGAAGACAUCCAUUCCAGCUUCCUGUGGAAUACUGAUUUAACUUGUUUGACCUUCAUGGGAAAUCAUUUUUCUUAUUUGUUUCAACUUCUUGAGGAGCUGCUUCCUGGGACCCUUUAUGGACCACUUGCACAGAGGUGUAACCCUCCCCUGUACACUCACACCCUUUUGUGUUUUUGUGGCUACGAUUUCACUUGCUGUGCUCGGUCGCUGAGUCAAGUCUGACUCUUUGCUGACCUCACGGACUGCAGCCCGCCAGGCUCCUCUGUCCAUGGGAUUCUCCAGGCGAGAAUCCUGCAAGCGCCUCCAGGGCAUCUUCCCAACACAGGGGUCUAACCCGCCUCUCCCGAGUCUCCUGCUUUGCGGGCGGGUGGAUUCCUUACCCUGAACCUCGUGGGGAGCCCACGCCAGUCUUGACCGAAGGGUGUUCUGGGUGCCUGCGUUCACGGAAUGCUGCACAGCCAGCCUGGACGUUGUAUGUUCACCUUCUGUUUGUUUUAAAAUAAGAACAAUUCUCACCUGCCACAUCAUAAACUAUGUUUGGGGCAGGAUGUCCUCACUGAGUGACCUUGGGCAAAAUAUAUGAGUCAUCGGUGAAACGGAAAGAAUAACACCUGUGUCUUUAGGAGAAAUGAAUGAAAGCUCAGGCUUCUGACACUGCAGGGCUAAAACGAUUUAUGGUAGCUUAUCACAGCCUCACCUAUAAAGGCAAUUAGAAUAGAGAGUACAUCGGAUUAACCUUCAGGAACCCUUUAACUCCCCUCCAGAGGGCUGUGCUCAGCCUUGGGAGGCAGAGACGAAUAAAAACGGACUCCUCUGUCUCAGCUCAGAAGGUUUCAAUGGAUUCUUGGGUCCGAUGGGUGCGGGUUGAGAUUUGGCUCUGUUAGGAAAGCGGAGGGCAGAGAGCUGGGCGGGAGGGACUGUCCAGCCUCGCAGACCAGGGUGAAUGCGUCAUUCUGAGAAGUCCCCAUCCAGGGAGCUCUUGGGGUUCAGGGGUUCCCCCCUCACCCCCAGGACUCAGCGUGGGGUUAUACUCACUGAUACAGGACUCAUUCCAGUAGAGGGAGAAAAAGCACAGUCAGGAAAGGGAAAAGGCCUGAGGGUGCUGGGGUCUGGAGGAAACUGGGCACACGCUUCCAGGAGUCCUUGUCUCUGGGGGGAAGGGUCAGCAGAACAUGCUGCCCCCCCAUAGCGGCCAGGAGCCACACGUGGCCUGGGGCAGGUCUGCGGCCGCUCGUGUGAACCCACUUAGAGGUGCUCUCGGUGGAGCACGUGGGGCUUCCCUGGGGGCUCAGAUGGUAAAGAGUCUUCCUGCAGUGUGGGAGACCCGGGUUUGAUCCCUGGGUCGGGAAGAUGCCCCGGAGAAGGGCAUACAUGGCAAGAAUACUGGAGUGAGCUGCCAUUUCUUUCUCCAGGGGCUCUUCCCAGCCCAAGGAUCUUCCCUACCUGUGUCUCCUGCAUCUCCUGCGUUGCAGGCAGAGUCUUUACUGCUGAGCCACUGGGGAAGCCCCACCAGAAUGUUCAUGAUUACACAGGAGCUAACGCUUUACCUCUCUUGGUCAGGAUUUUCUUGUGUUGGGCACUGUUCUAAGCCUUUUCGCCCCCUCACCACCACCCUCCAAGGGACGUCCCAUCCUUGUCCUAUGAUCUAGACAAGAAAACGGAAGCCUGGAGAAAUGUUGUAAGAUCACCCAACCAUGGCAACAGGAUAAAUAGAACGAGAUUUGUGCCCAGGGUGUCGGUGUCCAGUUCCAAAACCCACCCUCUUGCCCAGUGCCCUCUGUUGUCUUUUAAGAUGUUGGUGCUCUUAGAGAACUCACCACAUAGCCAGCCUCUGAAACUAGAAAUAAAUACUACUGUUGUAGGGUUUGAAUAGUGCAGUGAUCCAGCUAUAUACAGGAGGCACAGAUAAUUGGUUCUGAUCUCUGAAGGAAUCCUGGCAGGCUUCCAAGAGGAGGUGACAUUUGGAUGGUGCUCUGAAGGUGGUUGGUAGAGAAAGGGAUGGGCAUUCUAGGUCGUGGGCUCCUGUGUGCAGAAGCACAGAGGGGAGAGGAAGAGCUUUGGGAUGUCUGAGAAGAUCGUUUAGGGGAGAAGCCUUCAGGGAGUUCAGGGGGAGACGUGCAAACACAUGCCUGCCAGGAGCCUGAGGAUCCUGGGCUUUGUGGUUCGGUUGAACUUCAUACUGACGGGAAAGGAUUUUAAGUAGAGAAAUAGCACCAUCAAGGGGAGAUGGUUUGGGGGUGCUCAGCCUUCUGGGAGGAGGAUGGGUUGAGGGCAGUGGGGAAGCCCCUCAUUUAGGAGACUGGUCAGGGGUCCAAGGGCGAGAUCACGAGGACCUGGGCACAAGGGGGAGAGGAGGGUGUGGACUGAGGGGGAUGCUAGGUGUGGAUCCACGGAGAUUGAUGGUGCGGCGGAGGGUGGAUUCGAGAUGGAUCCUGGGUGUCUUAUCCAUGCUGAAUAGUCAGUGGUGACAUCUAGAAACUGGCAGAGAAAAAGGGAGGGGGCGGGCUUGUGGUGGUGGGGAGAGCACUUUUAAGCUUUUUAGUUUGUAAUGGGGUAUGGUUUUCCCAGUGGUCAUGUAUGGAUGUGAGAGUUGGACUGUGAAGAAAGCUGAGUGCCGAAGAAUUGAUGCUUUUGGGCUCUGGUGUUCGAGAAGACUCUUGAGAGUCCCUUGGACUGCAAGGAGAUCCAGCCAGUCCAUUCUGAAGGAGAUCAGCCCUGGGUGUUCUUUGGAAGGACUGAUGCUAAAGCUGAAGCUCCAGUACUUUGGCCACCUCAUGCGAAGGGUUUACUCAUUGGAAAAGACUCUGAUGCUGGGAGGGAUUGGGGGCAGGAGGAGAAGGGGACGACAGAGGAUGAGAUGGCUGGAUGGCAUCACUGACUCGAUGGACAUGAGUCUGAAUGAACUCCAGGAGUUGGUGAUGGACAGGGAGGCCUGGCGUGCUGCGAUUCAUGGGGUUGCAGAGAGUCAGACACGACUGAGCGACUGAACUGAACUGAACUGAACUGAUAGCGGCCGAGCAACGCUGUGAUAGUUUCAGGCACACAGCGACCGGACUCAGCCAUGCAUAUGCACCCAUCCACCCUCCCCCGGACUCCCCUCCCAUCCAGGCCGCCGCCCAGCAGGGAGCAGAGUUCCCUGCGCUGUACAGGAGGUCCUUGUUGGUUAUCCGUUUAAAAUCUGGCGGUGUGUCCAUGUCAACCCCGAACUCCCUAACCAUCCCUCCCCCACCCAAUCCUUUCCCUACCCUCAGUCACCAUGAGCUCGCUCCUAGCCUGGGAGUCUGUUUGCCUUUUGUAAAUAACUUCAUUUGUAUCAUUUCUUUUAGAUUCUGCAUAUAAGGGAUGUCAUACGCUGUUUCUCCUUCUCUGUCUGACUUUCUGAGUUACUUCACUCAGCGUGACAACCUCUAGGGCCAUCCCGUGUUGCUGCACACAGCAUUAUUUUGCUCUUUUUGGUGGCUGAGUAAUAUUCCUCUGUAUACGUGUACCGCAUCUUGUUUAUCCAUUCCUCUGUCGUUGAACAUUUUCACGGGGGAGGAGUGCUUUGAGACAAGAUGAGUUUCUGGGAGGGCCCCCUGGGUGAGGUGACUCUGUUAAGUACUGGAAAUAGUCAUCUAGCACUCAGGCCACAGAGGUGGUCAGCUCAGGGCUGACCAUGGCUCUCAGCGAUUAGGGAGCCCAGGGACGUAGCCUCCUACUAAGCACACUGCGCAUAUCAUCUCAUUUAACCUUCUGAGUCACUGGUGGUGUAUAACCCUAAUCAUGCGGAAUUGAUGCUUUUGAACUGUGGUGUUGGAGAAGGCUUUUGAGAGUCUCUUGGACUGCAAGGAGAUCCAACCAGUCCAUCCUAAAGGUAGUCAACCCUGAAUAUUCACUGGAAGGACUGAUGCUGAAGGUGAAACUCCAGUAUUUUGGUCAUCUGAUGUGAGCAGCUGACUCAUUGGAAAAGUCCCUGAUGUUGGGAAAGCUUGACGGCAAGAGAGGAAGGGGGCGACAGAGGAUGAGAUGGUUGGAUGGCAUCAUCGACUCAAUGGACAUGAGUCUGAGCAAACUCUGGGAGACAGCAAAGGACAGGGGAGCCUGGUGUGCUGCGGUCCAUGGUGUCGGACACAACCGAGCAACAGGCACAGUGCAGGAGAGACCGUGAGCUCAGGGAGGGCCACUGGACGGCUGGUGGCCACACAGCUCUUAACCAGGGGCCAGGGCUGAAACCUCAGGUUUCCCUCGUCUCUGCGUUUACUCUCAUUCCUCUGCCCGUGCUCACCAGGACGUUUUGGAAACAAGACACAAAUUCCAGCCACGAGGGACAGAGAGAGAGUGGCUGGAUGGCAGGAGAGAAGCCGGGAGACUGUAGCGUGCUCCUGGUCUCCAGGGCAAGGAGCACCAAGGCUGCGGAGGACUCUGUGCUUAGCGCUCGUCAUAGGAUGAUGUUUUCACUCGCUAGGUAGUGUCUGACUCUCUGCGACCCCAUGGACUGUAGCCCACCAGGCUCCUCUGUCCAUGGAAUUUCCCAAUCAAGAAUACUGGAGUGGAUUGCCAUUUACUCCUCCAGGGGAUCUUCUCGACCCAGGGAGUGAACCCCAGUCUCCUGCAUUGGCAGGUGGGUUCCUUACCACUGAGCCACCAGGAAGCCCCCUGUCAUCGGGUGACCUUGAGCCAAAGCAGUUUUGAGGGUGCUGGGCGUGGGUGGCAGUUGCAGAGGCUGGAGCAGUGGCCUGGAGGAGCGGAUGCAGCGAUUCAGAAAGCCCAGCUGCAAGGGAGGUCGGGGAGCAGAGGAAGCUCUACCCCGGAGGCAAUGAAGGGCUAGCCCCGCACCUCUACAGACCCUCCACGCCCUGCACCGGACUGUGUAUUUAAACCCUCACGUGUAUUUAUAACCUCAUUGUUUUUCUUAAAGAAGCUGUCCCUCCCUUCAGAAAAAUGUCCAUGCUUCAGGUCCAGCAAAACCUGGAUCCAUCCUUAGGAGGGGGAGCUGACUUGAAAGAUGGAAUUGAGGAAGCAGUCAGCCCAGGAGCCAGCUCCAGGCUCCGAGUUCCAGGCCUGGCUUUACCUCUUGCCAGCUGCAGACCUGGGCAAGUUAUUUAACCUCUGGGCACUUCCCUUUCCUUUUCUGUAAAACAGAAAUCAUAGAAGUGCCCAUCUUCUAAGGUGGCUGAAAAGAUUCAGGGAGAUGCUCAAUGCCUUUGCUAUGGUUUCCUGUUAUAUAAUAUUCUUAUUAAUAUGUAUAUUCCUGCUGGUGUUCUAAGGAUUUUUUUGUUCUGUUUUCCUGUGGAAUUCUCCAGUAUUCUGGCCUGGAGAAUCCCAUGGACAGAGGAGCCUGGUGGGCUACAGCCCGUGGGGUCACAAAGGGUCAGACACGACUGAUCGACUAACACUUCAGUCCUACGAAAAAACCAUGAUUCAAGAAGUCACAUGCCCACCUACGGUCACUGCAGCACUGUUUACAAUAGCCAGGACAUGGGAAAAACCUAGAUGCCCGUCGGCAGAUAAAGGGAUAAAGAAGACAUCCCCGCCCGUCCCCCCCAACACACACACACACACACACACACACACACACACACACACACACACACACACAGCGGAACACCACCAGCAACUACAAGGACCAAAAUCGGGUCAUCCCACCAUUUGUUUCUGAGGAUGGGAUCCUGUCCCGGGAGGCGCCUGGAGUCGAGGGCUGUUUCAGAAGUCUUCUAGGUUUGUAGACCAUGCAGGGCUGAGGGCCGUGCCCCAAGCCUAGGAUGACACAUACCAGCGGCCCGCUUGCAGGCCUGAGGCUGAGUUCCUGAUGCAAAAACGUGGAACGGCCGGAAGUCCGUCCAUCUGAUGGGCAGUCUGCCCAUCAGACUUGCCCUUCCCUCGGGCCCCUCUCCUUUUGGAGAGCAUACCUUUCUCACGUGGAGUGAGAUGUCGAAGGAGAAGGUGGGUCUGGUCCCCGAUGGCAAGAGCAGCGCCCAGCAUCCCUGGGCAGCCGGUUCCAGGCGGGACCCGGGUUGCACUCGCAGGGACAGCUGGUCCGUCUGCGGGCUCCUGCCGCGGGCCCGGGAGCGACAGCUUGGCGGGCUCCGGCCAGGCUCUAGACCCUCCGGGGACCGCUGGAGGCGCAGAGCCCUGGACCGCUUCCCGGAGCGCGGCGCGGCUGUCCUCCGAGCGGCCGCGCGAUGGAGCUGUGGCUCCGCCGGCGGCCGCGGCCUCCCGCCGCCCUGCCCGGGAACCGGCGCCCGGCCGGCCCGCGGCCUAGGGCGGGGGCGCAGCGCCGCUCCCUCCGCGGCGGCCAGCUUCCCGAGCGCACAAAGCCGCCGCUCGGGGCCCAGGGCCUCCCCACGACAGCCCCCGGCGGAAGAGCUUGCGUCUUGGGCACUGUUUUCCCCUCCUUGGCCUGGCCUUACGGAGCACCCUUGCUGCUCCUGACUUGAUUCUUCUUAAAACAUGUCUUUUUUUCAGCUGUUUAUUUGCCUGCGCCGGGUUUGUGCGGCCUCAUCAAUAGCUGUUUACCAGGUCGGUUACCCCCGAGCCCCGGGGGCAUCCUGAAACCAUGCAGUUUCAUUCCAUCUUUACUCCGAUUUGCGUUUGGGAAUUGAAGGGAGAAAUGGCAGGGCUGGUCUGUUUCCUUUUUUCAAGCUUCUAACCUCGCUCCGAAAAAAUCCCUCUUGGGGCUUGUGCUCCGGGAGAAAGGUGUUUGAACACCGAGUUCAAGCGAGCUGGCGGGAUGGAAUGUAGGAGAAGAAAAAGAAAAAAGGAGGCUUUUCAAAGAUGAACUUUUUUAUCCGACUCCAAACCUGCCGCGGUGCACUUUUAUAAAAUGCUGAGAAGCACAAAGAAGGAAAUAAAAAGCAGUCAUGAUUUUUUGCUUAGAAAUGACUUGUAUAUUUUUGAUAUUUGGUUUCAGGAUUUACUGCUGUUCACUGCACAGGUCUGACCCCCACCCCAGCCCCGACCCCAGCCCCACUCCCCACAUAGGAUCUGUGGAGGUAGCUGAGCUUUUUAAUUUAAUGCACCAUGUACGUUUUUGCUUGGCUAGCCGACUUCUGAACCAGUCGCACUGAAGUGGGUCCACUUCUGAGGUUCUGCAUGCAGACGGCUGUCAGCUAGGCAUCUGUGCGCGCACCUCUUGUGGAGGCCGUGAUUCAGAUGUUUGGAGGAGGGUGAGGGGCUUGGAGUUUCGAGGGAGGGCAGGAUUGCGCAGAUGUGGCUCCUUGCAAAGACCAGGGCGGCCUGGUUUCUGUCCGCAAAGGGAGCCCCCAUUUUCGGAUCAGCGGUUCUGGGGGACACAGAGUUGGGUGUCCAAGCCUCUGAGCGCUGAGCUCCCUCCUGGCGCCUCCAGGCCUCUGAACGUAGGUGGGAGGCUUCCCAGGCUGCCUGGAGGCUGGGGGCUGAGAGGCGGGGCUCAGGGGUCACAGAAUCAGGCCCCUGUCCCCUUGGAGGACCCCGGGAUGAAUGCGGAGGGAGUGGUGAGGGUCAGGCCGCUCCUCCCAGACCCGCUCCCGUCCCCUCCGGGGCGGACGCUUAGGGCAGCCGGAGCUGAGGUCUUCUGGCAGCUCCUGGGAGGCCAGGUCCCAGCACAGGACUCGGCAAGCAUGCGCCCACCUGGCGUGGCAGGGGGCAGGGGCAGAAAGAGGAGGGGUCGCUGCCCUCCCUUCUCCGUGGGGGCAGCGGGGUACCUCCCCGAGAGAAGGCAAGCGGUCUUUUCUUUUUUGUUUCUUUUUAAAAGUUUCCCUGCGUCUGCCGUCUCCUGCCACGCUCCCUGGCGGCCUCCUAGAGGCACGAGGGGUCCUGUGGUUUCUCAGGACUCUGGAAAGAAGCCCCAGGGGGACAGGGACAGCGGGAACAGAGCCCUGAUGGGCCAGGGAAGGUGGCCCUUGGACAGGGCGGUGGGGGCGGCCCUCCACGGGCACACUGAGCAGCCCCCAGGCCGCUCUGUGCCCCUGGGCGAAUCGCAGCGGCUCUCGGCUUCAGUUUGCUCAGCCCUGGAUGGAGCAAACGCCCAGCUGUCCGUCGGAGGGUGGAGGCAAAGCAGGCUGAGAGAGCGGAUGGUCAUGUCUUCAAAACUGGUGGUUAUUCCCCACUCCCCGAGAGCCAGACGCGGUGCUGAGUGCUCUGUGGAGAUGGAGGUGGUCCCCUGUUCAUUCGCUGCAGACCCCAGAGCUGGCGUUGUCGUGGUCCCCGUGGUGGGGGGUGAGGCUGAGAGAGGCUGUGGUCCCUGCCCGAGGUCAUCUGACCUCAGGCGCUGCAGCAGGAGCUGGGACCUGGAGCGGGGCUCUGACCCGCUUGCUGGGUGGCCCCCAGAGCACCCUUUCUCCCUGGCGACCCCACCCGUGCGCCGGUCAGAGAGAAGCUCCUCCUGCCCCUGGCCUACAGCUUUGCAGAUCUCUUCCUCUCGUAGUCACGGGAUCUGUUCCCCGCUUCAGAGACUGCACAGUAAACAACCCUGCCAUUUUGAACAAAGGGGCAGCGUGGUCUGUAACGGCCACGCUCCGCGUGGUUAUAAGACAUGAAAGAUAACCGUCUCAUCAUGUCUCGUUUCCACUAAUGGAGAGCGUGCCUCCAAGGAUGUGUGUGUUGUGUGCAUGAGUGUGUCACGUACACGAGUGCACGCGUGCAUCACGUACACGUGGGCACGUGCAUGUCACGUGCACGGGUGUCACGUACACACGUGUGCACGUGUGGUGCACCCACCUGCACGUGUGUCACGCAGACUGUCGCGUGCAUGUGUGCACGUGCAUGUAGUGUGCACACGUGUCGUGUACACGCGUGUACCGUGUCCGUGUGUGUUGUGUCCACGCACGUGUGCGCUUGCAUGCGUGUGGAGAAUCUCACCCCUGGAGGUGAAAGGCACACUGGUGUUAGAAGCUGUGGCACAGGCAGGGCGAAAGGUCCACGUGGCUUCCAGGGCUCCCCAGGCUGGGGAGCUCCUGCCCAUCUCCUUGCUCCCUGCCUCCGAAGAUUCCUUUAAAGAAGAUCAAGUCCUUUCAUCGGACACUUGGGGCGAGGCCAACAAGGCCAUGCCGGGGUGGCCCUUGGGUGUGGAGGAGCUUUGGUUAGAGCAGGGCCAGUCAGCAAGGGCUCAGGCGUCCUUUUCAGACCAUUUCCCCUGUGAGGCCGAGGGUGACGGGGGGAAGGUGGACUCAGUGGACGCGGGGACCCGCCUCUGCCUUUUGUCUGCAGGUCCCAGAGGCCUCGCACGUCGCUGGGGUGUGUUGUCAAGGGUUCAUCCUGCUGACAGGCAGGGCAUCGUAUUCCAAACAGCGCUAUUUGCAUCAGGCCUGUGCUGAGAACGCAGCUUCCUAGGAAACAGAGAAAGACUGCCCUCGGGGAGCUUGUAGUCAAACACUCAAGGACAUGACUAUGCUGUAAAUACUAGAAGGCUCACGUUUAUUGACCACAUUCUACGCCCAGAUGGAGGUGUUCUGCAGAGGUUGUCUUGAUACCUUCCACAGUUCCGGAAGGCAGGUAUUACUUACGUUUUAUGAAUGAAGAAGCAUAUUUAGAGAAAGGAAGCAACUUGUCUUAGGUCACACAGCUCACUGAGGGCAGAGAGGAGAAUCUGACCCUCACUGUCUGCCUAGCUACCCGCCGAGUGAGGUUGGCUGUGGGCCUGGGGUGUCCCGCACACACACAGGGCUCAGAGGAGCUGGAUUGCUGCCUUGCUCUCUCCUCUGGAGGUCCUGCUCCAGGUCAGGCUCCCCAGUGGCUGACCCGGCUCGCUGUGGCCGCCUGGGUAGAUGGGCUGGUGGCGGGGGUGGUGGAUCACCCUCAGGGCAGAGAGGACAGAGGUGCCCGUGCUCGGAUUCAAUCUCCUGUCUGGCGGUUGUCCAAGAACCAGCUGGACCGCUGCGCGCUGCGGUUGGACCCCUCUGGGGUCCCCGCCUCCCGAGGAGGGUCUCCAGGAAAUGUCUCCAGCAAAGACUUCGAGGAUACAACCUGCUGACUGCAUGGGGACGGCUGUGGCACACCCGAAGGCCCCCGUCUCAGUGCAGCGGGCGCGGAGACUCGCUGUCCUGGCUUUGAAUGUCCGCUGCCCUCCUCCCGGCCCCAUGACUCGGCUCCAGGGGUGGUUUCCUGUGGGCAGUAGGUGGUUCUCCCGCUUGAGAUGCAGUUGAAGAAGCUCUUCUCUUUGGAUUGAUGGUGGAGAAGCAGGCUGACCUGCUGGGCUUACAGCCUAAACCUUAGAUGAGAAAAAGUGAGGCCAGACCCUCCCACCGCUUCCUGAAAUCCUUCAGGACACUUCCUGGGGCUUCCUGAUGGUCCCAUGGUUAAGAUGCCGAGCUCCCGAAGCAGGGAGGCGGGCCUGGGUUCUAUUCGUGGUCAGGGAACUAGGCCCCACACGCCGCAGCUGAUACCAGGCGCAGCCGAGAAAACAUAUAAGAAAAUACUUUCUGAAAAUUCUUAGUGAGAGAGAGCAGAAAGCAAAGUAGUUGUUUGCUUGGACCAAAUGGACGGUGGAGAAAUUUGCUUAAGUCAACUGCAGGCUGGACGCCCUCUGCACAGGCUGUCCUAGGGUGGAGGUACGUCUUCCACUGGUAAACACCUGUACCUGGAAGGAGUCUUGAUAUGUGCUUUUUUUUUUUUUUAAUGAAAUCGUCUUAUCAGUCGAUCUUCAUGGGAGAAAUGUAUUCAUGUGUUGGUCUAUUCUACAAAUAUUUGUUAAGCUUGUACUGUUGGCCUGGCUCUGUGUGACAUGCUGAGGAGACAAAGGUCCAUUUAGAUCAGUGCCCUUGAGGACGGCACUCAGGUAAUGAAUAGACAAGGCUUGGGGACAAGUGAUUACAGUGACCUUGUGGGCAGUGGCUGGAGAUAAGUCUGGACUUCUAAGGAAACGAUGCUUGGGAUAGAGGGAAGACUUCCCUAGGGACGGGCAGUGUCUCAUGACGGUUAAGAGGUGUUCAGAGGAUGUCUCAGGGAGGAGAUGAGACUGGGCUUCUCAGGCAGAUGGAACCACAUGUCCAGAACCACAGAGGCUUGAUGGAGUUUCUCUAAGGAAUGGUAAUGUUGUUGUUUCGUCGCUAACUCUUGUCCGACUGUUUGUGACCCCAUAGACUGUAGCCCGCCAGGCUCCUCCGUCCAUGGACUUCUCCAGGCAAGAAUACUGGAGUGGGUUGCUGUUGCCUUCUCCAAGGAAGGGAUGGUAAUACUGGGAGGCAGAGGUUUUGAGGAAUAGAAUGUGAGACACUGCAUGUGAAAUGCACAGUUCUAGGGGCUUCCCUGGUGGUCCAGUGGUUAAGACUCUAGUCUUCCAAUGUAGGGGACACAGGUUCGAUCCCUAGUCAGGGAACUAAGAUCCCACAUGCCACCCGGUGUGGCCAAAACACAAAAAAUGUUUUUUUUAAUUAUCAAUGAAGUAUACACAGCUCCAUGCCAGGAAAUAGCCCUCGAAAAAACAUUAGCUCUUAUUGUCUUUCUAAUAAGAUAACUAAGGUCACUCCCCUUCCCCUCUUUGUCAGCCUUUUCUUUACUUUCUCUUGCAUCCUUAGUGUGUUUCUUCAUAAUGGGAUGAGAAACUUUAGGAUGGAUAAGUUGCCAAAGGAAAAUUUGACAUAACUAUUUCUCUUUGUGGAGCUUUGGGUAUUAUUUUCAAUGUAUUCUUAUCAUAUGUUGCUUUGAACUGGGCUGAUAUGUUUCCUUUCAAGAGUGACUAGAAUUUAGCACGGAUUGAAUCGAUGGCUGGAGUUUGUUGGAGAUGUGGAAUUAUGAUGAAUAACCAACGUGAUUGACGGUAGAAGUGAGUGUGUUUUUCAAAUCACUUUUUCACACCUCUGUUUUUAUGUACUCUGUGUGUGUAUGCGCACACAGGCGCACGCACGCUCAAUUGCUCAGUUAUGUCCAACUCGACAUAACUAUAGCAACCCAUGACUAUAGCCCAACAGGCUCCUCUGUCCAUGGAAUUUUCCAGGCAAGAAUACUGGAGUGUGCCAUUUCCUACUCCCGGGGAUAUUCCUGACCCAGGGAUCGAACCCGCACCUCUUGUGUCUCCUGCAUUGGUGGAUUCUUUAGCACUUUGCCACCUGGGAAGCCCUAUGUACUUCUGAGUUUAGGCGGAAAACCCCUUGGAGGGUAUUCAGCCGUGUAUCUUGGCGUUGUGCGGAGGCUUUAUUGGGAGGGUGCUGAGGGAGGGGGGAAGCCGAGAGUGGUGGAUACCAGGGAGAGACUGAGGAGAGGAUAUACAACCAAGAUGCAGAAGACAUCCUCUUCCGUGAAAUGCUUUUCAAGUUUUAAUGUCCAAGCUCCUCUGGGAGAUUACAGACACAGGCAUGAACUGAUACUUCUAGGAGGUCUAGGGUUUGGUCUUGGCAGCCCAGAAGUUUCUUAGAAGUCCCUUUCAUUGACCCCAUCCCACCAUGAGAUGACACAUUGCAGACAAUACUGUUUGGGUUUCCCACCGGCUUUCAUCCCAAACUCGGGCACAAGCUACUAAAGAUGUUUGCCUCUGGCUUCUCCUCCCUGGUAAACUGUGGGUCCAGCACAAGUCAUUCCAGCCAGAGAACAUUGUCCAUUUCUUCCAGUUGGUUUCUGUGCGCUUAGCACAAAUUUUCUCACCAUUUGGGGUAACUCGUGGGCUGCAACCUGCAACAUUAUUGCAGGCUGUGUUCCUGUAUCAUGGGCUCACAGAUAGCUCCAGCCGGAAGCUUUUUCAUCAAGUGCCUUUAGGGUAGAUAGGAGAGGACUUCUGAUUCUUUUGUCAGACAUGCAUGGGAGUGGGUGUGAAGGGAUAGCCCAGGGAGCUGAUGUCCUGGAUGAGCAUCAAAGUGAAAGAAACACAUGUGCACAGAGAGAGAGUGACAGAAAGCCUUACGUCAGUGGCUGGAUUCUUUCCUUUUUUUCUGUAAAAUUUCAGCGAUCAGCAUGGUUAUAUUUUAAAGUUACAAGAAACAGGGACUUCGCUGGUGGUCUGGUGCUUAGGACUCCAUGCUUCCAAUGCAGGGGAGCGCGGAUCCGAUCCUUGGUUGGGGAACUAGGAUUCCCAUGUGGCAUUUGGCAUGGCCAAAGGAUAAAAAAAUAACUAAGUAAAAAAAUAAAGUGCAAGGAAUAAUCUAGCCUGGGUCCUCUCCUGGCCCACCCGUCCAGCUAUCUCCUGGUUCACCGCAGUUGAUGGGUCACGUCAUUAGGAAUAUCUCCUCUGUCCUUUAUGCCCACCCCCGUGGGAGUAUCUGAACGCGUUUCAGGACCUCAAGUGGGUAAAGGGUCUCUGAUUUCAUGCUGUCUGAGACAGGCUGCACUGGGGAUCAGUUUUGGAGACCAGACGGUCUCCCUCCAUUUUCCAAAUUCUUUAAUUAAUGAAGAGCAAAAGGACUUCCCUGGCGGUCCAGGAGUUAAGACUCUGCCUCCCAAGGCAUGGGGUGCAGGUUCCACCCCCGGUCAGGGAGCUAGGAUCCCAGGUACCCAUGGCCAAAAAACCACAGCAUAGAGCAGAAGCAACAUUGUAACAAAUUCAAUAGACUUUAAAAAAUGGUCCACAUCCAAAAAAAAAAAAAAGAACAAAGGGCGAGAACUUGCUGAAAUUCCUACUCUGCUCUCAUUGGGGUGGUUGUGAGAGUUGAUUAAAAUGACGAUGUUUAUUUUUUGGGUUGUUUCUGGCAUCAAAAGUGUGACAAUUAAUAGGUUCUCGGCUUCUAGAAGCAGAGAACGGACUUAUCUUUAACUACGCUGUGCGUGUGUACAAAUAAGUGUUGCUUUUUCUGGUGUGUGUGUGUGUAUACCUGGGCCCAUGUUCCCCGGCUGGCAUAUGUAUUUAUGCACAAACGUGCAGGACUAUAAAUAAAAACCACAAAUGAAUGCCUUGGAGGGAAGCGUGAGGGCUGCCCUUUUUGCUUGCUGCCGUCAGCGAGGCAGGCGCCUCUGCUUAGGCAGCGGAGUCGGGAAGAGCGGCUGUGGGAGGGGCUGGCGGAGGCUGCUGGGGCUCUGGGGGCUUCUGUUGGCCCAGUGGGUGUGUUUUCCUGGUGCUGACUUUAAAGAUGAACCUUGAUUUUGAGGCUCCAGGGCCAUGCAGUGUGGCCUCAAAGACAGACUCUGGUAAAUCCUCUGUAGGUCUUCCUACGGACAGCGCUUGUCUGGGUCUGAGACCACGUGAAGACUUCCGGGGAGGUAGACCGGGAGGGACCCCUUGUGAGCAGAAACAGUAAGGAAUGGGGGCGUCUAGGCCGUGGUGGUCCAGUGGUUAUAACUCUGUGCUUCCGAUGCAGGGGACAUAGGUUCGAACCCUGUUCUGGGAACUAACAUCACAUGUGCUGUGAGGUGCUGCUUGGAGCAUUCCAUGGACAGAGGAGCCCGGUGGGCUACAGUCCACGGGGUUAGCAAAAAGUCAGACAGGACUGAGCGGCUAUCACCUUCACUUUUCCUCUUUAACGUGUGUGUAUAUAUAUAACUGACUCGCUUUGCUGUGCUCCUGGAACUAACACAACACUGUAAAUCAACUAUACAAUAAAAGCUGAUUAGAAACAAAAAUAGUAAAUCAACUCUACUUCAAUAAUUUUAAUUUAACAUAGAAAAAAUUUUAAAAAAGUAAGCAAAUCUUAAAUGUACAGCUCAGUGAAUUUUUCCGUAUACCUCCAUGGAACCACCAAGAAAUAGAAUAUUUCCAGCCUUCUGGAAGGUACCGUCUUGUUACCUCUCAGUCAGUAAUGCUCCCUCCCUCCCUCCCUCUCUUAGCCAUUCUAUGGUUAAUCGUACUGUUAAGGUGGCAAAGGCAAGGUUUACAGUCUCCCAGCUGAAUGGCCCGCAGACAAACCCAUCCAACAAAGAAAGAAAGGAAUAUUUUCUUGUGGAGAUGUGGCUAGGUUUGGUUGGAGUUAAAAAUGAAGCUCGGUGGAUCCUAAAACCUUUUUGUGGCUGAAAUAUUUAGACACUGUAUUUUAAGAAAACUUUUUACUCAUUUGUAGACUUUUAUCUGGCCAGGUUUCCAUCCUGAGGGUUUUCCUUUCUACUUAUCUGACAAACCAUAAAUUUUCUUUCCUUUAAGGGCAAAACCAACCCUCGAGCACAUUUAUGGCCCAAGUUUUAAAAGCCGGCGGCCCUUUCUAGCUUGUAUCUCUGGUUAAACAUGUCUCCUUUUCUUGGAGCGGUUUAUGCAGAAAGGAGCUGAAGAUAAUGAAUUCCUCUAGAGAGAGCUCCUGCCCGCCCAGUGCGAGAGAGGAUGGAGGGAAAGCCCCCUUCAUCAGCUGUGGCCGGCUAGUCACGCUCUGGAAGUCUUCCUCCUGGUUCCACCGGGGUCUUUCUUUAUCUAACCUCAGUGGCUUUUUCCUUCUUGGCUUUUGAUUCAUUCUCCUCUGCAUCCUUGAAAGAGUGUCAGAUUUUUGGACCUCGGACAAUUCAUGUGUAGCAAUCCACGCUGAUUUUUGUGAGUCUGUUUGUUUCCAGAACUGAAACCUGCUUUUCGACGAGCUGCCUAGCGAUUGGUUAAUUAGUCGACUUUAGCUUCCCCUGGAGGACAAGGUCGCAGAGUGUCGGGGGUUGGGGGAGACUUUAUGCCCUUCCUGUUGGCUCAUGUGUUGGGGGCGUUAGCCAUGGGGAACUGGGCUCUGUGACUUGGAAAAGAAAUCUAUUGAAGGGAUUUCCUUCCUGCUUCUUGUGCUGUUGGAGAGAAGAUGGGUGAAAAUUUUGGUUACCCCUGGAGCACAGAGCAGUUUUUCCCCUUAUGAAGAGCUGACUUGUUGGAAAAGACCCUGAUGCUGGGGAAAGAUUGAUGGCAAGAGGAGAAGGGAAUGACUGAGGAUGAGAUGGUUGGAUGGCAUCAUCAAUUCGAUAGACAUGAGUGAACAAACUCUGGGAGAUAGUGAAGGACAGGGAAGCCUGGCGUGCUAUGGUCCAUGGGGUCACAAAGAGUCAGACACGACUGAGCAGCUGAACAAUAGAAUAGAUCUCAUUUGGAGCGCAGAUUUUUUUUUUUUUAAUUGAAGUAUAGUUGAUUUACAAUAGUGUUGGUUUCAGGUACAGUAAAAUGAUUUAGUUACAUACACAUACACACACACACACGCGCACACACAUAUUCUUUCUUUUCAGUUCUUUUCCAUUAUAGUUUAUUACCAAAUAUUCCAUAUAGUUCCAUGUGCUCUACAGUGAGCCUUUUUACCUGUUUUAUAUGCGUGGUUUUGUGCAUCUGUUAACCCCAUAAUCCCAGUUUAAUUCUUUCCCAACCCCUGAGCAUAGAGCUUUUAAUGCGCGUGAUUGUGGACCCAGAGCGCUCCUAAUUUCGCCUGCACUGCGCACCUACUGUGCUCCAGAUCAGACAGUGGGUGCACUGCCGGGGCAUUUCCCAGUGAGGCUUCGGCGUCUCUGGCUUCCAGUGCUGCUUGCCCAGGGAGCUUUGAGGUGUGGUCUGGUCCUUCCCUCUUUUGGCAAAGCCACUUCUCGUUGAUUUCCAGAAAUGUGAUUAGGAGUCUUUUCCUGGGUGUAAAGGCCACGCACGGUGACGCGCUUUAGGUACCAGCUGCUGGCAAGGCUGAUGGGACGUGGGAUCACUUCCCGGCCCCUUCGGUCAGGAUCGUCUGCAGGCUUUGGAUGGGACGUGGGAGAUGUAUUUUUGUAGAGAUAUAAGGCUCUAAGUCACUUUGCUGACAAAGUCUAGUCAAAGUUACGGUUUUUCCAGUAGUCAUGUACAGAUGUGAGAGUUGGACCAUAAAGAAAACUGAGCGCUGAAGAACUGGUGCUUUCGAACCGUGGUGCUGGAGAAGACUCUUGAAAGUCUCUUGGACUGCAAGGAGAUCCAGUCAGUCAACCCUAAAGGAAAUCAACCCUGAAUAUUCAUUGGAAAGACUAUUGCUGAAGCUCUAAUACCUUGGCCACCUGAUGUGAAGAGCCAGCUCGUUGGAAACCGACCCUGAUGCUAGGAAGGAGGAGAAGGGGACGGCAGAGAAUGAGAUGGUUGGAUAGCAUCAUGGACGCAGGGGUCAUGAAUUUGAGGAACUCCAGGAGAUGGUGAAGGACAGAGGAGCCUGCGUAUGGGGUUGCAGAGUCAGACACGACUUAGGGACUGAACAACAGGCAUGUCCGACUCUGGCUCCAAAACACCGUUUCAAGAGACGAGAAUACCAGGAUGGGUGAGUGCGCUGGGUGCUGGCCCAGCUUUCAUGUUACUCGUGUUGAGACUCCAGUUGGGAGAGGGGGGAGGGUCUUCAUCAUCUCUUUGCUCAGUUUUCUUUUCGAUCACAUGUGGAGAAUAAUCCUACCCUCCUUAUAUCACAGAGGUCUUUAUGAAGAAAGACAGUUCAAAGCCCAGAAACGUGUAAAAUGUAUUUCCCAGAGGUUUGAAUGAAACUCCUGACCCCUCCUGAGUCCCAUGAUCUUUGUAACAGACUGUGAGCUCCUCUCCUUACACCCAUUUAUCCGUCUCGUUGCCCUUGUUGCUAAGUCAUGUCCGACUCUUCGCAACCCCGGGUACUGCAGCUCACCAAGCUCCCCUCUCCUCCACUAUCUCCCUCGCGCCUGUUCCUAGGUCUCCAGGACAUGCCCUGGGACCCGUUUCAAGACAGUGUUUAAUACACAACCCUGAAGACUCUUACAAGCCUUUCUGGGUAACACUUACUUCAUUGAACUUUUCAGAAAUGAAAAAAAAAAAAAAAAGAAGAAAACGCCGUUUAGCAGACUCAUGGUCACGGGCUGACAGAUGUCACUCAGAAUUUUAUUAUUUAAAGCCACAGUGAUUUUCCAAAUAACCUAAAAAUAUAUAAUCCAACCUCAAAAUAGUGUCCUGUAACAGAGGCCAGAGAGCCCUGAAGGAAAUGAAGUCAGUAUCUUGGCACCCCUUAUGUACUGGUUCAGUGACUUUGAGAACUUCUACUUUCUCUGAGAAACUCAGGCACAUGGAACUGUAUCAGGUUGCUGAGUGUGUCUGCCAAGGUCUCAGAGAGCGGGGGCUGGCUUGGGUGUCUUCCUGUGGUACCCAAGCCAGGGUGACACCUCUUUUAUUCAUGUAAGGAACUUUGUCCCCACUCUUUCUAAAAUUUUGUUGUUCAGUUGCUCCGUCGUGUCUGGCUCUGCAACCCCAUGGACUGCAGCACACCAGGCUUUCCUGUCCUUCACUAUCUCCCGGAGUUUGCUGAAACUCAUGUUCUGUUUAGUUUGCUCAAACUCAUGUCCAUUGAAAUGCCAUCUGACUGUCUCAUCCUCUGUCACCCCCUUCUCCGUUUGCCCUUGAUCUUUCCCAGCAUCAGGGUCUUUUCCAGUAACUCUAUUUAUUUUUGACCGUGCUGGGUCUUCGUUGCUGAAGGGCUCUUCUCUAGCUGCAGUGAACAGGGCUGCUCUCUGGCUGCAGAGCGCGGGCGUCUCGUCGUGGUGGCGUCUCUUGUUACAGAGUCCGGGCUGUAGGGCCCGUGGGUUCAGUAGCUGCGGCCUCCCGGCUCUGGAGCGUGGGCUCAGGGGUUGUGGGGCACAGGGGCUUAGCUGCUCUGAGGCGUGAGGGAUCUUCUCGGACCAGUGUCUCCUGCAGCGGCAGGCGGACUCUUCACUGCUAAGCCGCCGGGGAUGCCCGUCUCCUCCCCGUUCUUCGGGAGCGUGGGUGGGGAGAGAACGGCCUUGAUGCCUUUUGAAAGACCCGGCACCUUCCAGUCUGACAGCUGUUCGGCUGUAUUCAGAAGAUCCCAUCCUGAAUCUGGGCAGGUGGGUGGGAGACACAGUUGUCAAAGGAAAAUGAAAUGUCUUGAGCACCUACCAUCACCCAGGCAGUGUGCUCCCCUCAACCCUCGUGUUUUUUAUUUAUUUCCACUCAUUAUUUAAGUCAAUAUUCAGUAGUAUUGAUUUAAACUUUUUAAAAAAACAUUUAUUGACGUGCAGUUGAUUUACAACUUUUUUUUUUCUCUCACUGCACCGCACAGCUUGUGGGAUCUUAGUUCCCCAACCAGGGAUUAAAUCCGCACCCCCUUGGAAGCAUAGAAUCUUAACCACAGGACUGCUGGGGAAAUCUCAAUAGCGUUGAUAUUUAUACCAAUUACGUGAACACAUAAUUAAUCAUAAGUAAUCCAUUUGUUGGGCUUCCCUGGGGACUUAGACAGUAACAAAUCUGCCUGCGAAGGCAGGAGACACAGGUUCAGUCCCUGAGUGGGGAAGGUCCCGUGGAGAAGAAAAUGACUACCCACUCCAGCAUUCUUGCCUGGGAAAUCCCAUGGGCAGAGGAGCCUGGGGGGCUACAGUCCAGAGUCGCAGAGUCGGACACAACUUACAGACUAAGACAACCACCACCACCACCCAUGGGUUAAACCACCUUGUGAGAAUUAUGGUCCCAUUUUACAGAUGAGGAAGUGGAGUCCUGGACAUGUUCAGGAACCCACCCUGAGUGUUACGGGUAGGAGAUGGCAGAACCCGUGUUUGAGUCUAGGUGGAUUGAUUCGGAUUUUGGCGAUGGCGCGAAUCUCUUUGCUGUCUCUAUAUCCUGAACCAGGAGCCCUGGGGCCGCGGGUGGGACCGACAAGGCCGUCUUUCUAGGACUAGCAGUCACGGAACUGGUGAGUCUUGACAUGGGGGGCGGGGUGGUGCGUGUGGCAUUUUCCCCUUUUCCGUGCCCCAGCCUUUCCGAGAAGCCGUCCCCAGGUGUCAGCUCCUGCGCCACGUCCGUCCUGCUGGAGGCUCUCUCUCCGGGUCGGUCUCCAGGAAGCAUCUCUGGGCGGCUUCCGAGCUGGGGGAGCGGCCAGCCUCUGACUGGCUGUUGUUUGGUUUUCUCUGACUGGAUCUUUGUUUCCGUGAAGCCCUCAGCUGCCCAGGCUCUUGCGCCGGCUUGAUCGGGGCCACAUGCAGUGCUAGCCUGGUUAAGUCAACACCGUGGGAAUAUUACCUGUCUGUUAACCUGUCAAGAUUGCUUUACGGUCCCCUUUUAUCUCCCCCUCCAUGCCCAACGGAAUUUCCCCUGGAGUUUUCUGCCUGCCUUCCUGCAUCCUGCAAAGCCGCCCCCACCCCCGAGUCAUUAAAUAUUGUCAGAGUUCCGCCACUUGCUGCCGCCUUAUUUGCCCAGUGCAGAUAAACUGGUGUUGAGUCUGUGAUCUGGACCAAGGACACUGGGCUCCCAGCCCCGAGAAAGUCGAAGCGACGCCUGCCAGCUUCCUCACCUAUGAAAUGAGAGAACCAGGCCAUAUGGUCCUUGGAUCAGCCACGUCAGCAUCACUUGGGACUUGCUGGAGAUGCAGACUCUCAGGCCCCACCCCAGACCUGCUGAAUCAGAAUCUGCAUGUUAACAAGAUCCCUGGGAGAUUCUUGUUAAAACAACAAAAGCAGCACCUCUCCAGAAAAAGUUGAAAAAAUCAAAUUUGCUGGAGUCAAAUGCCUUCUUUCUUUCAGUCUUUCUUUCUUUCCUUUUUUUUUUUUUUUGCAAAUUGAAGUCUUUUUAUUUUUGCUAUUAAAUCUAAUGGCAAUUCAUAAUUUAAAAGAUUUCUGUUCCUAUUUGUUUUAAUGAAUUAGCAGUAAAUGAGCUUUUAAUAACUGUAGAUGAACCACUCAUAUUUUUUUUAAUUAAUGAGAAUAUAAUAAAAAUGGAAGAAGAAAAUAAUUGGGGGAACUUACUAUUUUCAAAUGAAUACAUUCUACACCAUUUUGUAGUCACAUGGGAUUCAAAAACAAUCUUUGAACCAUCUCCCUCUCCUACCAAAAUGGGACCUGUGCUCUAAAUAAAUGUCCUUCUUAUUGAAAGGAGAGCUGAGUGAAGCUGAGGAAGGUGGUGUGUUGGUGAACACUGACUUAGUGACCCUCUGUUAUCCAUCCAUCCUGGGAAGAAGAAAUGGGCUUCAGGAGCCUUGGGAAUUAUGGUCGGAUUCAUGGGAUCAUUGCCUGAUGUUGAAGCUUAUGAGUUCCUAGAAAGGUUUGCAGGGAUAAGUACCCUUUGGACAGGCUUUUCUGGAGUCUGUUAAGAUCAGAUUGAUUGCUCUGCAUCCGUUUUUUAAGUGUGUAUCUAGGUGCCAACUCUGUGCUAAGUUCGGGUACCAGUAAGCUGAGCAUCACUUAUAGGAGGCAGUGAUUCGGUACUGCUGCUGUUUAUAUCCAGGUUUCUCAUCACUAAGGAGAGGCAUUCACGCCUGCCUGUGCACAGAGCUUUGCAUGGACAGGAGGCACACUCUGGCAAGCUGAUGGUCUUGCAAAGGUGCAUCAGUUACCAACAGCUACAUAACAAACCACCUCUAAACGUAGUGGCUUAAAACAGCCACUGUUUUAUUGUUCAUGUUUCUGGAACCUCGGCUGGGCUUGGCUGGGUGGUUCUUCUGUUGGUCUGGACGAUAGUUGCUUGGGGAGUUUCAUUCA